AGAGGCAUAUCAGCCCCACAAGUUACCCACCUUUUGAAGCUACGCACCAGGAAAUAAAACAGGAGCAGCAGAACGGGAAGCUUUGUGUGAAGUUAGUACAUAAAAGGCAAAUCACAGAAUCUUUUAACACUUACUUCAGCUAAGCCAGCUUUUGGCUAUGAGCGUUCCUGUAGCUGAUGCAGACUCAGAAUGAGAGAGACAGAGUGUGAGCAGGAGAGGGGCAGAGAGAGAGAGAGGGAGACACAGAAUCCAAACCAGGCUCCAGGCUCUGACCUGUCAUCACAGACCCCGACGUAGUGUUCAAACUCACAGAACGUGAGAUCAUGACCUGAGCUGAAGUUGGACACCUAAUGACUGGGCCACCCAGGCGCCCCUCUACUGUAUUAUGUUUUCUCUUUUUAUAAAACC